UACGUAGGUGACAAGCGUUGUCCGGAUUUACUGGGCGUAAAGAGCGCGCAGGCGGCCCGGUAAGUCAAAGGUGAAAUCCCUCGGCUCAACUGAGGAACUGCCUUUGAAACUGUCGGGCUUGAGGCCGGGAGAGGGUAGUGGAAUUCCCAGUGUAGCGGUGAAAUGCGUAGAUAUUGGGAGGAACACCAGUGGCGAAGGCGGCUACCUGGACCGGUUCUGACGCUGAGGCGCGAAAGCGUGGGUAGCAAACAGG
rnacentral:rRNA from 1 species